rnacentral:rRNA from 1 species
GACAGAGGGUGCAAACGUUGUUCGGAAUUACUGGGCGUAAAGCGAGUGUAGGCGGUCUGCUAAGUCGGGUGUGAAAGCCCCGGGCUCAACCCGGGAAGUGCACUCGAAACUGGCAGGCUAGAGUACUGGAGAGGUUGGUGGAAUUCUCGGUGUAGAGGUGAAAUUCGUAGAUAUCGAGAGGAACACCGGUGGCGAAGGCGGCCAACUGGACAGAUACUGACGCUGAGGCGCGAAAGCUAGGGGAGCGAACGGG